rnacentral:rRNA from 1 species
UAGGGAAUAUUGGUCAAUGGGCGGAAGCCUGAACCAGCCAUGCCGCGUGCAGGAAGACGGCCUUCUGGGUUGUAAACUGCUUUUAUACGGGAAGAAACAUCUCUUGCGAGAGGAAUUGACGGUACCGUAUGAAUAAGCACCGGCUAACUCCGUGCCAGCAGCCGCGGUAAUACGGAGGGUGCAAGCGUUGUCCGGAUUUAUUGGGUUUAAAGGGUACGUAGGUGGUGUACUAAGUCAGUGGUGAAAGCCUGCAGCUUAACUGUAGAAUUGCCAUUGAUACUGGUAUACUUGAGUAUGGUCGAGGUAAGCAGAAUUUAUGGUGUAGCGGUGAAAUGCAUAGAUACCAUAAGGAAUACCGAUAGCGAAGGCAGCUUACUGGGCCGUUACUGACACUGAGGUACGAAAGCGUGGGGAGCGAACAGGAUUAGAUACCCCCGUAGUCC